rnacentral:rRNA from 1 species
GAACUGCGUAAUUAGUUAGUUGGUGGGGUAAUAGGCCUACCAAGACGAUGAUGUGUAGCCGGGCUGAGAGGUCGAACGGCCACAUUGGGACUGAGACACGGCCCAAACUCCUACGGGAGGCAGCAGUAAGGAAUUUUCGGCAAUGGAGGAAACUCUGACCGAGCAAUGCCGCGUGAACGAUGAAGUAUUUCGGUACGUAAAGUUCUUUUAUUAGGGAAGAAUAGAUGGUGGAAAAACCAUUAUGACGGUACCUAAUGAAUAAGCCCCGGCUAACUAUGUGCCAGCAGCCGCGGUAAUACAUAGGGGGCAAGCGUUAUCCGGAAUUAUUGGGCGUAAAGGGUGCGUAGGCGGUUAAAUAAGUUUAUGGUCUAAGUGCAACGCUCAACGUUGUGAUGCUAUAAAAACUGUUUAGCUAGAGUUGGAUAGAGGCAAGUGGAAUUCCGUGUGUAGUGGUAAAAUGCGUAAAUAUACGGAGGAACACCAGAAGCGAAGGCGGCUUGCUGGGUCUUAACUGACGCUGAGGCACGAAAGCGUGGGGAGCAAACAGGAUUAGAUACCCUGGUAGUCCACGCCCUAAACGAUGAGUACUAAACGUUGGAUAAAACCAGUGUUGAAGUUAACACAUUAAGUACUCCGCCUGAGUAGUACGUACGCAAGUAUGAAACUUAAAGGAAUUGACGGGACUCCGCACAAGCGGUGGAUCAUGUUGUUUAAUUCGAAGGUACCCGAAAAACCUCACCAGGUCUUGACAUGCUUUUGCAAAGCUGUAGAAAUACAGUGGAGGUUAUCAGAUGCACAGGUGGUGCAUGGUUGUCGUCAGCUCGUGUCGUGAGAUGUUGGGUUAAGUCCCGCAACGAGCGCAACCCUUGUUGU